AAGUGUGAUUAGUAGGCUUAGGAUAAAUCGGCCCGUUCUUCUUCCACUUCGUCGAGUAAGCCACCACUCCCCGGCGGAUCAUUUUCUUAAGCGAUCUUUUCGACUCCUCCAUGUUCUCUAACGACUAGCGAUUCUUCUUGCCCGGGUAUAUCCUCCAUAGAAGAAUCGCGUCAACGCCGUCUCUUUCCAGUUCUUUCAAUACUACCAACAGUUGGUCGUCUUCUAUUCAGUUUAUCUAUUCAAUUUCAGCCAGAUACGGUUGUAGCGAAGGAAGGUUAAUUUUCUGAGGCAAGAAGAGGCUCUAACGCUGCCGUGGAAGAGAAAAAAAAAAGAUUUCUUCUGGUUCAGACCACCAUGCAAGUAAAGUAAAGUGGUUGUUCUUAAAGUGUCUCUUCACUGUCGCUGCAGAGGCUGUGAAGGCAAAGUGAAGAAACGUCUAUCUAGAAUGCAAGGGAGCUGGUGGACCAGAGGAGGAAGAUAAUUGAUGGCCGCCAUGCCUAAAACCUCUGCUUAAAGAGCAGUUCUUUGUUCACUGCAAGGUUCAUGUAGACUUUCACAAGGGUGAUUGCAAUCUUAGACUGCACCAACGGUGAGCUUUGCUCUCUUUGUCUUGCCCAUCACAAAGACCACCUCACCAUCCAAUCCAACACAAGGUGUAGGUUGUUUAUGUGAUCUAUGGAGCAUUAUGUGUUGCAGAGAGAGAGAGAGAGAGAGUUCCUGCUCAGAAAGGUGGAACUGCAGAAGCACAAUGAGAUUGAGAAAAGAGCAGCAGCUGAUGUGGCUUCAGCCUUGGAAUCUUACGAAGCAGACAAUGGAGAUGGCUACAAUGCUCAUUACCUCAUGAAGAGCACAAUCAUGAGCGGUUGUAAAUGCAUCGAUGUCCAAUCUAAAACCCUCAAAUAAAAGCAUAGGGUCUUGAAAGGAACAUGAAAAUGUAGCUUACUUAUUGUUGUUAUGUACUUUUUGUUUUCAAGGCACCAUUGCUCAGCAGAAGAAAACGAUCGUUAACAGAGUUUACUGAUAAGAAUUUAUAAGGCUCUAAUAUUCAUAUUUA